AGUCCACCACUACACAUCCGAAUCAGCUCCACUCUGCUCCUGCAUCAACUUAGAAACACUCUGGUAGGUGGUUCUGGGGUCAGUCUACUAUGCUCUAAAUAUAACAAAAAUGAUGUUCCAACUUAACUUUAACAAUAUCACACUUAUUCAGACAUCACCUUUUUUAGACAUCACAAUAUUCGGACAUUCUUUCUAGUCGCCAGAUUCUGACUUAGUCAUUUAGACACGUAAUAUGAGCAUCAUGCUAGAACUUAGGAAAGACAUGCACAUGUCAUUGCAUAUAGGAUCAUUAAUACUAGGCAUAUCACAUAAGGUAGUCAUCUUUACGGAAUCCUAACACAUGUGAAGUUAACAUGGAAAGUAUACAUAGUAACAUAGUCAUCAUCCUCGAAUCAAUCCUAAACAUUGAAACAUGAAGAACACAUUAUUACUGGAACAUUUAUCAUAUCUGGUCAACAAUCCAAGAAACAUUGUAACAUAAGGGACACAUCACUGCAUGAACAUUGGACACAACUAAUCAUCUAAAUCGAGAACAUAGGAGCAUAUAAAACACAUCAUUACAUGAACAUUGAUCAUAGCAAGUAGUUAUUGUGACACCCGCCCCUAGACGAUCCGAUCGAACCACACAGUUCAACCCAUGCAAUGCCCGCGGGUUCACUUGGCAUAUAAACAUAAUAACUAACAUACAAUAACUAAACUAAAAACAUCCUCAAUUCAAAAGUAAAAUGACAGCGGAAAUAAACAGAGCAUCCAAGGCUCGAAAUGCUCAACUAAACAUCACUGAAAAACAACCCAAACAGGAGAAAUAACAACAGAAAAUACGUCUGUCAAAAAAACUGGAAACAUGAAAUCCCAAAACUUCAAAUUCGAUGUCAUCUCCCUAAAGCUCGAUUGCCUGAUUUGUAUGACAUGUAGAGAUUGAAUCGUAGGAUUGAAAUCUCAAAACUCCAAAUUCACAACCUGUCAGGAUUUUCCUACACGGGAUUCGACAAGGAUAAAGAAAGGAGGAAGAAGAUAGAUAAUCUUAUGAAACUUCCUCAACGAUCUCUAAGCCCCUCCUACCGGUCUGGGAUCGAUCAACAAGACCCUCUCCUCUGCCUGGAAUUAAUCGCCGAUCAAUACGACUGUGAUUCACCUAUUAGCCAUGAUCGUGACUGCACUGAUCACAGUCGUGAUCUCCCUGACGACCACGCCCGUGACGAGCAGUUGGCCACGCCUAUGAUGGUCCUCCUGACAACCGAUUUCCAAAGAACACAGAAAACCGAACCAAAACCCAAAGCCAACAAUUAACCCAAACAGGGGUGUCACAUUUAUCACUUCCAAGAACAUUAGGACAUAUCACAACAAAUCAGCACAUGACAAUCACUUGAUAUAUCUUAACAGGUGGUCAUUAACACCAACAUCACUUUGGAACCAUGAGAACACAUGUCAUUGAAUCACAUCAGUACAUGAUGAUCACUUAGAAAACAUGAGAGCAUGUGACAGAGUCUUACACUUAUACUUGACCUUAUCUAAGGUAUCUCAUCACUUGCACUUGACAUAAGUAUAUGUGACCUUAUCUAAAGUAUCUUAUAAUUUGCACUUGUCAUACUUGUACAUGACCUUAUCUAAGGUUUCCGAUCAGUUGAACUCGACAUACUAGUUGGGCGUCCCCUAACUCAACUAACUAGUCCACCACCCAAACGUGAACAUGAGAGUAUGUGGGUGCGAAUCAAUUAGACAGUAACAUGAGGGGCACUCUAUGGCCCAGGCAACUGUGGCCCAUACGUGAGAAACAUGGGGGGCAAUAUUGGCUCAAAAGUUAACGUGAGUUCAUCACAUGAGGGGCAAUACCGGCUCGAACGUGAACGUGAGAAACAUGAGAGCAAUAUUGGCUCAAACGUGAACAUGAGAUUAUCACCUGAGAGGCAAUACCGGCUCAAAUGUGAACAUGCAGCCGGAAUAUCCAUCAGACGAUAGCAUGAGGGGCAACCUGGCCCAAACGUGAACAUGAAAGUCUGGAAUAUCCAUCGAAUGGUAACAUGGGGUGGUGGUCCAACUAGAGAGUUACAUGAUUCUAAUACCCUUGUUAAUUGUCUUAGUAACGUAUACCUAUUCACUGCUGGCUAGUCAUUUAGACAUAUCAUAACCUAAUCUUGAGGUAGUCUAGCCUUAUCAUCAUUUAAGAGCACAUCAUCAAAUAAUAAUCUAACAUAUAAUGACAUAACCACUUAACCAUCACAUGGAUCACAUAAACAUGAGAUACCCACUAAUCAAGAAACAUAACAUGACAUAUCAUAAUUCAACUUCUAACUUGCACAUAAUCCUCAAGUAAUAAUAUAAGCACAACAUAACCACUUAAUCGUAACAUGGGUCAUGUGAACAUGAGGUAACCACCAAGGAGGGGGACAUGACAUGACUUGGCAUAAUUCAAGGUACAAAUUUGCACAUAAUCAAAUGAUAACAUAACAUAUGGUGACAUAACCGCAUAACCAUAACAUUGAUCACAUGAACAUGGUGAACACUAAUCAAGGAGACAAUGACAUGAUUUAUUAUAGUUCAAGGACUUAUCCUAGUUUAAAGGACUUAUCAUAGUUUAACGAAUUUCACAUCAUCAAGUAGUAACAUGAACAUCACCGUCUAACCAUAACAUGUAUAAGUUGAACAUAAUAUAGACACUAAUCCUGGAGAACAUGACAUGGCUUAACAUAGUCUAAAAGGGCAAACUUGCACAUCAUCAGGCAGCAACAUAUGCACUUAAUCAUAACAUGAAUAUGAUGGACAUAACAUGAACACUAAUCCUAGGAAACAUGACAUGACCUAACAUAGUUUAAAAGGAUUAACUUGCCCAUCAUCGAGGGAUAUUCUAAUCUAACAUAACCUAACAUAACAUAGCCAUCUAAUCAUAACAUAACCAACAUGACAGAGGUAUCCACUUAGUCAUAACAUAACUAACAUGACAGAGGGAAACCACUUAAUCAUAGAGAAAUUCACAUACGAUUAGCCGCAUCACAUGAAUAACAUGACGUAACAUAACAUAACCUAACAUAACAUAGUCACUUAAUCAUCACAUGAAUAACAAGACUUAAGGUAAUCACUUAACCAAUCGAAUAAUUUCAUAACAUAGCCUAACAUAAUAUAAUCACUUAACUAUCACCUGAAUAACUUGACAUAAGAUAAUCACUUAAUCAUGGAAUCAUCGAUAUGAAGGUAAUCACUUAAUCGUGGAAAUCAUUGACAUAAACUUAAAUGCAUCAAUCAUGUAAUAUAACCACAUAACCUAGCAUGGUCACUUAAUCAUCGAUUCAUGGCAUGGAAUCACGACAUGGAAUUAUGUUCGUUAAAUUACUUAAACUUAUUUUAACCUAUUGCAUCGAUAAGAUUUUACCCUAUUAAACCACCCACCUGGAUGAUGAGCCCAAAAUCCCAGAAUGCAUCUGAGAAGAUUCCUCUCGCUGCCAUGAAUCCACAGCUUCUGAAGUGCGUCGUUUGAGUUCAAACGGUCGAGUUAUGCUAUAGUUACUCUUCCAGAAAUCGAAGAACACUCAAUGGCAGAACUGUAAUUCUAAAAUUUUCAGUUUGGUCACCAAAUUUUUCCAACAUUGCUCGAAGGUCAUUGAACUUUUCCAGGAUGCAGGGAGGUCACUCAACUUUUCCACACUUGCUGGAAAGUCAGUCUGCUUCUCCGGCCAUCUCGUCGUCACCGGCGAGGAUUUCCAGAAUCAGGCGAGCUUCAAACCUUCUGGAAACUGCCGAUUCUUGCCGCCCUUGCCCUAUCUCCGUUUUCCAACACCCCGACGACUCCAGACCGCCUCGAUGGAGAUGCCACACCCCCUACACGCGCCGACGCCAAAACCUCCGCCGGCAAUGGCUUCCUCUGGUUAGCUUUGGAACAACGCCACUUUUGAGGCCUCUCUCUCUCUCUUGCACAUCGCCAUUCGAAACGUCGCCGAUAGCUUCCUCCUCUCCUCUGAGUCAAUCUUCCACCAGCUCUCUCUCGAUCGAUUCCUCCGUCGACAACCGACGCCGCGGUCUCUCUCUCCCUACUCUGUCUCUUUCUCUCUCUCUCUCUCUGCUUUUUCUAGUUUCUUCAAUCGUUCCAGAGUACCUCCUCCCAUCUCUCUUCUCCCUUCAAUUAUUCAGCUACUAACAAGGAGAUAAGAAUCAAAACAAUGAAACAGGGAGGCU
rnacentral:lncRNA from 1 species